AGAGCGCACGGUGAAUGCCUUGGCACUAAGAGCCGAUGAAGGACGUAGGAAUCUGCGAAAAGCCCCGGGGAGCUGAUAACCAAGCUGUGAUCCGAGGAUAUCCGAAUGGGGAAACCCGACUGGAGUUAUGUCCAGUAACCAUUGUUUGAACACAUAGAACAAAUGGAGGAAACGUGGGGAAGUGAAACAUCUCAGUACCCACAGGAAGAGAAAAUAAAUAGUGAUUCCGUUAGUAGUGGCGAGCGAAAGCGGAUGAGCCUAAACCAAAAUUGCGUGAUAGUUAACAGACGUUGCAGUUUUGGGGUCGUGGGACUUAAUUUCAGUAACUGUUAUUACUGAUAGAAGUCAGAAACUCAAUGCGUAGACGAAGAACGUGGGAAAGUUCGGGAGACAAGGUAAAACCCCUGUAGUCGAAACGUAUUGAACUUUUUUUAAGUAUCCCAAGUAAUGCGGGGCCCGUGAAAUCCCGCCUGAAUCUGUCAGGACCACCUGAUAAGGCUAAAUACUACUUAGUGACCGAUAGUGAAGCAGUACCGUGAGGGAAUGGUGAAAAGAACCCCGGGAGGGGAGUGAAAUAGAACCUGAAACCGUGUGCUUACAAGCCGUUGGAGCUACGCCCGCAAGGGCAGUGACAGCGUGCCUUUUGAAGAAUGAGUCUGCGAGUUAGUGGUAUGUGGCGAGGUUAACCCGUGUGGGGAAGCCGUAGCGAAAGCGAGUUCGAAUAGAGCGAAUUAGUCGUAUGCCCUAGACCCGAAGCGAGGUGAUCUAACCAUGAGCAGGUUGAAGCGCAGGUAAGACUGCGUGGAGGACCGAACCCACCAAUGUUGAAAAAUUGGGGGAUGACUUGUGGUUAGGGGUGAAAGGCCAAUCAAACUUCGUUAUAGCUGGUUCUCUCCGAAAUGCAUUUAGGUGCAGCGUCGCGUAUUGCUUAGUGGAGGUAGAGCACUGACUUGCCGAGGGGCCCUAAAAGGUUACCAACGUAAAUCAAACUCCGAAUGCCAUUAAGUUAAACGCGGCAGUGAGACUGUGGGGGAUAAGCUUCAUAGUCGAGAGGGAGACAACCCAGACCAACAACUAAGGUCCCAAAGAGUGUGCUAAGUGGUAAAGGAUGUGGAGUCGCAUUGACAACCAGGAUGUUGGCUUAGAAGCAGCCACCAUUAAAAGAGUGCGUAAUAGCUCACUGGUCAAGUAAUUCCGCGCCGACAAUUUAACGGGGCUCAAGCACAUCACCGAAGUUAUGGCAAAAAAUCAUGUAUCAGGCCUUCGUGGUCCAGAUGAUUUUUUGGGUAGGAGAGCGUCGUGUGGCUAGCGAAGCGGUGGUGAAAACCAACCGUGGAAGCUACACGAGUGAAAAUGCAGACAUGAGUAGCGAAUGACGGGUGAGAAACCCGUCCGCCGAAUGACCAAGGGUUCCAGAGUCAAGCUAAUCUGCUCUGGGUAAGUCGGGCCCUAAGACGAGGCCGACAGGCGUAGUCGAUGGACAACGGGUUGAUAUUCCCGUACCGGUUUUGUUGCGCCAAUACUGAAACCAAUAAUGCUAAGCGUUUGAACCUGGGAGCAAUCUCAGCGGAAGACGUGACCCUGUUGGCUGUAGGUAAGCAAAGGAGUGACGCAGGAAGGUAGCCCAUCCCGGGCGAUGGUUGUCCCGGGGUAAGGAUGUAGGUGGGUGUGUAGGUAAAUCCGCACACUAAUACUGAGAUCUGACGCCGAGGCGUAAGCCGAAGUGGGUGAUCCUAUGCUGCCGAGAAAAGCUUCUAGCAAGUGACAAAUCCGCCCGUACCCGAAACCGACUCAGGUGGUCAAGUAGAGAAUACUAAGGCGAUCGAGCAAACCGUAGUUAAGGAACUCGGCAAAAUGCCCCCGUAACUUCGGGAGAAGGGGGGCCUUGAAGUGUGAAAGGAUUUACUCCCCAAGCACAUCAUGGCCGCAGAAACAAGGCCCAAGCGACUGUUUAACAAAAACACAGGUCCGUGCGAAGUAGUAACACGAUGUAUACGGACUGACGCCUGCCCGGUGCUGGAAGGUCAAGGGGACGGGUUAAGGAGUAAUCCUGAAGCUCAGAACUUAAGCCCCAGUAAACGGCGGUGGUAACUAUAACCAUCCUAAGGUAGCGAAAUUCCUUGUCGGGUAAGUUCCGACCUGCACGAAUGGCGUAACGACUUGGGCGCUGUCUCAACUAUGGACUCGGCGAAAUUGCAGUACGAGUAAAGAUGCUCGUUACGCGUGGAAGGACGGAAAGACCCCGGGACCUUUACUAUAACUUGGUAUUGGCGGUCGAUUCGGAUUGUGUAGCAUAGGUGGGAGACUUCGAAGCAGGGACGCCAGUUCUUGUGGAGUCAAAAAUUGAAAUACCACUCUGUUCGUAUUGGCUGUCUAACCUCGAUCCAUAACCUGGAUCAGGGACAGUGCCUGGCGGGUAGUUUAACUGGGGCGGUUGCCUCCCAAAAAGUAACGGAGGCGCUCAAAGGUUCCCUCAGCCUGGUUGGUAAUCAGGUGUUGAGUGUAAGUGCACAAGGGAGCUUGACUGCGAGAUUGACGGAUCGAGCAGGGACGAAAGUCGGAACUAGUGAUCCGGCGCCGGCAAGUGGAAGCGGCGUCGCUCAACGGAUAAAAGGUACCCCGGGGAUAACAGGCUGAUCUUUCCCAAGAGUCCAUAUCGACGGGAAGGUUUGGCACCUCGAUGUCGGCUCGUCGCAUCCUGGGGCUGGAGUAGGUCCCAAGGGUUAGGCUGUUCGCCUAUUAAAGCGGUACGCGAGCUGGGUUCAGAACGUCGUGAGACAGUUCGGUCCCUAUCCUCCACGCGCGAAAGAGUUUUGAGAGGACCUGUCUCUAGUACGAGAGGACCGAGAUGGACGAACCUCUAGUGUGCCAGUUGUUCUGCCAAGAGCAUGGCUGGUUGGCUACGUUCGGACGAGAUAACCGCUGAAAGCAUCUAAGCGGGAAGCUCACCUCAAGAUAAGAACUCUCACAGGGUUAACCUGGUAAGACCCCCAGAAGAUGACUGGGUUGAUAGGUCGGAUGUGGAAGCACAGUAAUGUGUGGAGCUGACCGAUACUAAUAGGUCGAGGGCUUGUUUU
rnacentral:rRNA from 1 species